UGGGGAAUAUUGCACAAUGGGGGAAACCCUGAUGCAGCGACGCCGCGUGAGCGAAGAAGGUUUUCGAAUCGUAAAGCUCUGUCCUAUGAGAAGAUAAUGACGGUAUCAUAGGAGGAAGCCCCGGCUAAAUACGUGCCAGCAGCCGCGGUAAUACGUAUGGGGCGAGCGUUGUCCGGAAUUAUUGGGCAUAAAGCGCGCGCAGGUGGUUUAGAAAGUCUGAUGUGAAAGCCCACGGCUCAACCGUGGAGGGUCAUUGGAAACUAAUAAACUUGAGUGCAGGAGAGAAAAGUGGAAUUCCUAGUGUAGCGGUGAAAUGCGUAGAGAUUAGGAGGAACACCGGUGGCGAAAGCGGCUUUUUGGCCUGCAACUGACACUGAGGCGCGAAAGCGUGGGGAGCAAACAGG
rnacentral:rRNA from 1 species